rnacentral:rRNA from 1 species
UACGGGGGGAGCAAGCGUUGUUCGGAUUUACUGGGCGUAAAGGGCGCGUAGGCGGAUCAGCAAGUCAGAUGUGAAAUCUCGGAGCUCAACUCCGAAACUGCGUCUGAAACUGCUAGUCUAGAAUGUCGGAGGGGGUAGGGGAAUUUCACGUGUAGGGGUAAAAUCCGUAGAGAUGUGAAGGAACACCGGAGGCGAAGGCGCCUGCCUGGACGACUAUUGACGCUGAGGCGCGAAAGCGUGGGGAGCAAACAGG